GAAAGAUGUUGUCUUCGUGCUUCGUCGCCAUGUGAUUCCAAUGUCUGGAUUCAAAAUAUUAAACAAUCCUUGCUUUAAAGUUUGAUCCAGUUUGCACAAUUGGAUGAAAAAUAACUUCUGGAUCAAGAAGUGUUUCAUCGGAAUUUAUUUAGAGGGCAAUAUUUUGGAUAAGUUACUGAACUAAAGGAUCCAAAAGGAAUAAAGAUUUGGAAAAAGUGAUUCAACCAAGUUUUGAAAAAUUUGACCAUAAUUUCUCUUCUGAAAAAGUUUAUUUGUAAUUAUGUUGUUAUUUAACUUGUAAUUAGUGUAAAAUAAACCUUUUUGAUGUUUUAACUUCUUUGU